AUGGUGGCGUACCCACCUAACAGAAGGAUGUUUCCCAGGAUGCGAAUCCGCCGGCGUCGUUUUGAUCAAAUCUAACUUUUUUCGAUCUAGUUGGCGUGGGGUUUGCCGUACAAGUAUACAGCUAGCAAUUCCGUUUUUCGAACCUCAGUCGUAACUUGGGACAGUCGGAACACACAUCAGACAAAAUAUUAUUCAAAAUUCUUACAAAUAAUAAAUAAAUAAAUAAAAUUACAGUUCUAAUAAAACGUUAACGUUAAAACGUGUAUUCGUGUGGACCAAAAUUUCAAUUUUUUCGACCUGCCAAUCAGUUUCGAUAAAAUUCAUUUUCAAUCAUUUUACGCUUAAAAUUCUCUGGAAUUUGUGAAAAUAUUCUAUAACAUUGCAGCACGACGACAAGGUCCCCGCGACCAGCUUGUGUCAAGCCAAGCCAAGCCUGAUGUAAAGAACCGAUUUUUUCUAUUUUUGCUCGCUACUAAGUGCAACGGCUAGCUCAACGGCUAGAGUUUGUGCGUUCGUCCCACCAAAUUUAUGAUUUGUAUGAUUGUCUG